rnacentral:rRNA from 1 species
AUUGAGUUUGAUCCUGGCUCAGGACGAACGCUGGCGGCGUGCUUAACACAUGCAAGUCGAGCGGUAAGGCCCCUUCGGGGGUACACGAGCGGCGAACGGGUGAGUAACACGUGAGCAAUCUGCCCUUCACUUUGGGAUAACUCUGGGAAACGAGAGCUAAUACCGAAUACGACCACUUCAGGCAUCUGAUGGUGGUGGAAAGUUCCGGCGGUGAAGGAUGAGCUCGCGGCCUAUCAGCUAGUUGGUGGAGUAACGGCCCACCAAGGCUUCGACGGGUAGCCGGCCUGAGAGGGUGACCGGCCACACUGGGACUGAGACACGGCCCAGACUCCUACGGGAGGCAGCAGUGGGGAAUAUUGGACAAUGGGCGAAAGCCUGAUCCAGCAACGCCGCGUGAGGGAUGACGGCCUUCGGGUUGUAAACCUCUUUCAGUAGGGACGAAGCGCAAGUGACGGUACCUACAGAAGAAGCACCGGCCAACUACGUGCCAGCAGCCGCGGUAAAAUC